GAUGAACGCUAGCGGCAGGCCUAAUACAUGCAAGUCGAACGGUGUCUUCGGACAUAGUGGCGCACGGGUGCGUAACACGUAUGCAACCUACCUUACAUUGGGGGAUAGCCUUUCGAAAGGGAGAUUAAUACCGCCUAAGACAGUAGCUGGGCAUCCAGCAGCUGUUAAAGAUUUAUCGAUGUAAGCUGGGCAUGCGUCCAAUUAGCUAGUUGGUGAGGUAACGGCUCACCAAGGCAAUGAUUGGUAAGGGAACUGAGAGGUCAAUCCCCCACACUGGCACUGAGACACGAGCCAGACUCUUACGGGAGGAAGCAGUAGGGAAUAUUGGGCAAUGGACGCAAGUCUGACCCAGCCAUGCCGCGUGCAGGAUGAAGGCGUUAUGCGUUGUAAACUGCUUUUAUACAGGAAGAAACGACUCUUGCGAGAGGCAUUGACGGUACUGUAUGAAUAAGCACCGGCUAACUCCGUGCCAGCCGCCGCAGUAAUAC
rnacentral:rRNA from 1 species